ensembl:lncRNA
AUGCUUUCUUCACAUAAGGGGGAAAAUACUCCACUUUCCUCUUUACCCAUGCCUUCUCUCUUUCAGACGCACAUCCCUAUUGUAGAGAUCCAUGACCAUCAUGAAGCUAUAGCCUCUGAAGUCCUCCCCGCUGCUGAGGAACAUCUGGAGCAGGACGUCCUCCAAACUCAGUAUGUGAACACUCCAGUUGGUUCCACUAAAGAUGACGACACAGAAGACAAGAUGUCCUGCAGUCAUUACUUGAAGGACAAUGGUGAUGUUGACGAGGAAAUUCCACCUAAUUUGUAAGGUGCAUUCAUCCCAUUCACUGCUCUGUUUCAUGCUCUUGCAGGCCAAAGUUGCAGCGCUGCUGUUGUGCUGAGAUCCACUACAGAAGAGCUCAGGCAACAUAAUGCAGUUAUCACAGACACUCUGAAAGCCCAGGAAAAACAAAUCAGUCUCCAGGAACGAAUCUGUCUUUCUCACUGUCAUUGCAUAUCUGUUUUCAUGAUUUUUUUGUGAUGUCUCUGAAGUACUUGUAAAGCAUCAACAAAUGCAUUUGUUGUUUCUUUAUUUAUUUUACAGGAUUAGGUUGUAAUCUUCAUAAAUCCUUAAUCUGUAUGGCAACUGUUGUGUGUAUGUGAGGCAAAUGUCAGGCAUUUAAAAUAUACAGAAUGAAUUUAGAGAAUGUUUCAUACAAAUUAAGAGACUUAUUUGAAUAGCGCAAUUUCCAGAAAAUGUGCUUAUAAAGUAGUCAAACUUCAUAGGAUUUUUUUUUUUUUUUUUUUUUGUGGGUUGGAAUGAAGUGUGACAUUAAAAUGCACCUUUUUCUGGCGUUGUUCUUUGUAGAAAUUAUGUGGUAUUGUGAUUAAAAACUCUGGAAUCUGCAAUUCAGAAUUGAGGCAAACACUUUUCACAGUCACCUGAAAACUGACACCCUUAAUUUGACCCUAGUUAAAUAUAUAUAAAUGUAUUUCCAUAUAUAUUCCACAUGCAUAUAUAUUGUUUUUUUUUUUGUUUUGUUUUUUUGUUUGUUUGUUUUUGAAGUUUGAAGUUGAUUUGGGUUAGUUCAUUCAACUCUGAGUAUGCUGAUUCUGAGUUAAACUCUAAAAAUCCAUAAUCAAUGGAACUCCGACAUUACGAUUCACCAUGACAACAGCACUCGACAAAAAGACGUCCAUAUCUUGCAAGUCAACACACUAUAAUAUCAGAGUUGUGGCCUAAUGGUUAGAGCGUUUGACUCCUAACCCUAAGGUUGUGGGUUUGAGACUUGGGCCGGCAAUACCACGACUGAGGUUCCCUUGAGCAAGGCACUGAACCCCCAACUGCUCCCCGGGCGCUGCAGCAUAAAUGGCUGCCCACUGCUCUGGGUGUGUGUUCACUGCUGUGUGUGUGCAAUUUGGAUGGGUUAAAGCAGAGCACGAAUUCAAAAUAUGGGUCACCAUACUUGGCUGCACUUUCACUUUUUUUCAUAAUUGAAUCAGGUAAGCAUAAAAGGUUCAUGGGUGUAGGCUACAUAAAUCUAUAAACAUUUGACAUAUUAAAUAAAUAUCAUUUAGUGUAUAUUUCA